rnacentral:misc_RNA from 1 species
AAGACUAUAGACCUGCGGAGUACCUGCGGAAGGAUCAUUAAAGAGAAAACUGCCCUUUGGGUAGAUUUCCCACCCUUUGUUUACUUUACCUUUGUUGCUUUGGCAGGCCCGUCUUCUGACCACCGGCUUCUAGCUGGUCCGUGCCUGCCAGAGGACCCCCAACUCUUGAUUUUAAGUUGUCCGAGUCUUAUAUAAUAGUAAAAACUUUCAGCAACGGAUCUCUAGAUCGGAAGAGCACAC